rnacentral:rRNA from 1 species
UGGGGAAUUUUGCGCAAUGGGCGGAAGCCUGACGCAGCGACGCCGCGUGGGGGAUGACGGCCUUCGGGUUGUAAACCUCUUUCGACUCUGACGAAGCUUCUGGGGUUUGCUCAGGGGUGACGGUAGGGGUGGAAGAAGCGCCGGCCAACUACGUGCCAGCAGCCGCGGUAAGACGUAGGGCGCGAGCGUUGUCCGGAUUUAUUGGGCGUAAAGAGCUCGUAGGCGGCUUGUUGCGUCUGCCAUGUAAUCCUGCGGCUUAACUGUGGGUUUGUGGUGGAUACGGGCGGGCUUGAGUGCGGUAGGGGAGACUGGAAUUCCUGGUGUAGCGGUGAAAUGCGCAGAUAUUAGGAGGAACACCGGUGGCGAAGGCGGGUCUCUGGGCCGUUACUGACGCUGAGGAGCGAAAGCGUGGGGAGCGAACAGG